rnacentral:rRNA from 1 species
CCUACGGGUGACAGCAGUGAGGAAUAUUGGUCAAUGGGCGUAAGCCUGAACCAGCCAAGUCGCGUGAGGGAUGAAGGUUCUGUGGAUCGUAAACCUCUUUUAUCAGGGAAUAAAGUGUGGGACGUGUCCUGUUUUGUAUGUACCUUAUGAAUAAGGAUCGGAUAACUCCGUUCCAGCAGCCGCGGUAAUACGGAGGGUCCGAGCGUUAUCCGGAUUUGUUGGGUUUAAAGGGUUCGGUGGCGGCGCUUUAAGUCAGCUGUUAAAGGCUGUGGGUUAACCCGAGAAUUGCCGUUGAAACUGGGAGGCUUGAGUAUGUUUGAGGUAGGCGGAAUGCGUGGUGUAGCGGUGAAAUGCGUAGAUAUCACGCAGAACCCCGAUUGCGAAGGCAGCCUGCCGGGCCAUGACUGACGCUGAGGCACGAAAGCGUGGGGAUCAAACAGGAUUAGAUACCCUAGUAGUC